GAGUUUGAUCCUGGCUCAGAAUGAACGCUGGCGGCAGGCCUAACACAUGCAAGUCGAGCGUGAAAGCACUUCGGUGUGAGUAGAGCGGCGGACGGGUGAGUAACGCGUAGGAAUCUACCCAGUAGUGGGGUACAACAGUCGGAAACGGCUGCUAAUACCGCAUACGCCCUAAGGGGGAAAGCGGGGGAUCUUCGGACCUCGCGCUAUUGGAUGAGCCUGCGUAGGAUUAGCUUGUUGGUGAGGUAAAAGCUCACCAAGGCGACGAUCCUUAGCUGGUCUGAGAGGAUGAUCAGCCACACUGGAACUGAGACACGGUCCAGACUCCUACGGGAGGCAGCAGUGGGGAAUAUUGCGCAAUGGGCGAAAGCCUGACGCAGCCAUGCCGCGUGUGUGAAGAAGGCCUUAGGGUUGUAAAGCACUUUCAAUUGGGAAGAAAAGUUGGUCGUUAAUAGCGGCCAGCCCUGACAUUACCUUUAGAAGAAGCACCGGCUAACUCCGUGCCAGCAGCCGCGGUAAUA
rnacentral:rRNA from 1 species